rnacentral:rRNA from 1 species
UACGUAGGGUCCAAGCGUUGUCCGGAUUUAUUGGGCGUAAAGAGCUCGUAGGCGGCUCAGUAAGUCGGAUGUGAAAACUCGGGGCUCAACCCCGAGACGCCAUCCGAUACUGCUGUGGCUUGAGUCUGGUAGGGGAACACGGAAUUCCUGGUGUAGCGGUGAAAUGCGUAGAUAUCUGGAGGAAUACCGGUGGCGAAGGCGGCAUCCUGGACCGAGAUUGACACUGAUGAGCGAAAGCUAGGGGAGCAAACGG